rnacentral:rRNA from 1 species
ACGGAAGGCAGCAGUGGGGAAUAUUGCACAAUGGGGGGAAACCCUGAUGCAGCGACGCCGCGUGAAGGAAGAAGUAUCUCGGUAUGUAAACUUCUAUCUGCAGGGAAGAUAAUGACGGUACCUGACUAAGGAGCCCCGGCUAACUACGUGCCAGCAGCCGCGGUAAUACGUAGGGGGCAAGCGUUAUCCGGAUUUACUGGGUGUAAAGGGAGCGUAGACGGAUCGGCAAGUCUGAUGUGAAAGGCUGGGGCUCAACCCCGGGACUGCAUUGGAAACUGUCGGUCUUGAGUGCCGGAGGGGUAAGCGGAAUUCCUAGUGUAGCGGUGAAAUGCGUAGAUAUUAGGAGGAACACCAGUGGCGAAGGCGGCUUACUGGACGGUAACUGACGUUGAGGCUCGAAAGCGUGGGGAGCAAACAGGAUUAGAUACCCUGGUA